GUGCUGCCCCGGGAAUUACUGCAAAAAUGGAAUAUGUGUGUCUUCUGAUCAAAAUCAUUUCCGAGGAGAAAUUGAGGAAACCAUCACUGAAAGCUUUGGUAAUGAUCAUAGCACCUUGGAUGGGUAUUCCAGGAGAACCACCUUGUCUUCAAAAAUGUAUCACACCAAAGGACAAGAAGGUUCUGUCUGUCUCCGGUCAUCAGACUGUGCCACAGGAUUGUGUUGUGCUAGACACUUCUGGUCCAAGAUUUGUAAACCUGUCCUGAAAGAAGGUCAAGUGUGUACCAAGCAUAGGAGAAAAGGCUCUCAUGGGCUAGAAAUAUUCCAGCGUUGUUACUGCGGAGAAGGUGAGUUUCAUAUUUCAAGUUUUGUUUAACCUGAAAUCUAUUGAUUGGAAUGAGGAUAGGGAUACAGUAUUUUAAAGAAAACCCACAGGAAUAAAAUCUAAAUUUUCUUUGCAUUUGU
rnacentral:sRNA from 1 species